rnacentral:tRNA from 5 species
GGGUCGUUAGCUCAGUUGGGAGAGCAUCGCCCUUACAAGGCGAGGGUCACUGGUUCAAGUCCAGUAUCACCCACCA